ensembl:snoRNA
UGCAAGUUUCUCUCACGGUGGUCUUCCAAGCGUUCGUGGCUUUGACGAAAUUGCCUGAAGGCAUCACUGAUGCACUCUG